rnacentral:rRNA from 1 species
UACGAAGGGGGCUAGCGUUGCUCGGAAUACUGGGCGUAAAGCGUGCGCAGGCGGUUUUGUAAGUCUGACGUGAAAUCCCCGGGCUCAACCUGGGAAUUGCGUUGGAGACUGCAAGGCUGGAGUCUGGCAGAGGGGGGGUAGAAUUCCACGUGUAGCAGUGAAAUGCGUAGAGAUGUGGAGGAACACCGAUGGCGAAGGCAGCCCCCUGGGUCAAGACUGACGCUACAUGCACGAAAGCGUGGGGAGCAAACAGG